GGGACGUUCUCAGGUACGGCAACCUGACCCUGACUGUAAAUCAGGAGCCUCCGGCUUUCUUGGUUCGAAUCCAAGCCGUCCCACCA
rnacentral:tRNA from 1 species